rnacentral:rRNA from 1 species
UGCUAUGGGGGUCCGACUAAGCCAUGCGAGUCAAGGGGGCGUCCCUUCUGGGACGCCACCGGCGGACGGCUCAGUAACACGUCGGUAACCUACCCUCGGGAGGGGGAUAACCCCGGGAAACUGGGGCUAAUCCCCCAUAGGCCUGGGGUACUGGAAGGUCCCCAGGCCGAAAGGGAGCCGUAAGGCUCCGCCCGAGGAUGGGACGGCGGCCGAUUAGGUAGUUGGUGGGGUAACGGCCCACCAAGCCGAAGAUCGGUACGGGCCGUGAGAGCGGGAGCCCGGAGAUGGACACUGAGACACGGGUCCAGGCCCUACGGGGCGCAGCAGGCGCGAAACCUCCGCAAUGCGGGAAACCGCGACGGGGGGACCCCCAGUGCCGUGCCUCUGGCACGGCUUUUCCGGAGUGUAAAAAGCUCCGGGAAUAAGGGCUGGGCAAGGCCGGUGGCAGCCGCCGCGGUAAUACCGGCGGCCCGAGUGGUGGCCACUAUUAUUGGGCCUAAAGCGGCCGUAGCCGGGCCCGUAAGUCCCUGGCGAAAUCCCACGGCUCAACCAUGGGGCUCGCUGGGGAUACUGCGGGCCUUGGGACCGGGAGAGGCCGGGGGUACCCCCGGGGUAGGGGUGAAAUCCUAUAAUCCCGGGGGGACCGCCAGUGGCGAAGGCGCCCGGCUGGAACGGGUCCGACGGUGAGGGCCGAAGGCCAGGGGAGCAAACCGGAUUAGAUACCCGGGUGGUCCUGGCUGUAAAGGAUGCGGGCUAGGUGUCGGGCGAGCUUCGGGCUCGCCCGGUGCCGUAGGGAAGCCGUUAAGCCCGCCGCCUGGGGAGUACGGCCGCAAGGCUGAAACUUAAAGGAAUUGGCGGGGGAGCACUACAAGGGGUGGAGCGUGCGGUUUAAUUGGAUUCAACGCCGGGAACCUCACCGGGGGCGACGGCAGGAUGAAGGCCAGGCUGAAGGUCUUGCCGGACGCGCCGAGAGGAGGUGCAUGGCCGCCGUCAGCUCGUACCGUGAGGCGUCCACUUAAGUGUGGUAACGAGCGAGACCCGCGCCCCCAGUUGCCAGUCCCUCCCGCUCGGGAGGGAGGCACUCUGGGGGGACUGCCGGCGAUAAGCCGGAGGAAGGGGCGGGCGACGGUAGGUCAGUAUGCCCCGAAACCCCCGGGCUACACGCGCGCUACAAUGGGCGGGACAAUGGGACCCGACCCCGAAAGGGGAAGGGAAUCCCCUAAACCCGCCCUCAGUUCGGAUCGCGGGCUGCAACUCGCCCGCGUGAAGCUGGAAUCCCUAGUACCCGCGUGUCAUCAUCGCGCGGCGAAUACGUCCCUGCUCCUUGCACACACCGCCCCUCAAUC